GUGUAAAAAAUUAAAAAACAAAAACAACUAUGAACUCAAAUUUUGGCCAAUGUUUGUGACUAAAUGGAUACUAAAAAAGACUGGACAUACUCCGUUUUAAAAACUCUGGGUUGUCUACUUUUUCAAAAGGUAUGCCAUGAUGGGGGUAAUUCUCAUUCCUGGGCUGUCAUACAUUCUCAAAGUCAACAUUGAUCCAGCAAACCAAUCUGGCAAAUUAUAAUAUGUAAAAACUGAAAUGGACAAGCUCUGACAACUUGAUUCUGUAACUUUUCAAAAC